rnacentral:tRNA from 1 species
AUUUUAAUAGCUUAUUAGAGCGUGAUAUUGAAGAUAUCAAGGAGAUCUUUGAUCUUAAAAUA